GCAAUACGGAGCGGCAGACGGGAGAGUAACACGUGGGAACGUGCCCUUCAGUUCGGAACAACCCAGGGAAAUUUGGGCUAAUACCGGAUACGUCCGAAAGGAGAAAGAUUAUCGCUGAAGGAUCGGCCCGCGUCUGAUUAGCUAGUUGGUGGGGUAAUGGCCCACCAAGGCGACGAUCAGUAGCUGGUCUGAGAGGAUGAUCAGCCUCACUGGGACUGAGACACGGCCCAGACUCCUACGGGAGGCAGCAGUGGGGAAUAUUGGACAAUGGGCGCAAGCCUGAUCCAGCCAUGCCGCGUGGGUGAUGAAGGCCCUAGGG
rnacentral:rRNA from 1 species